rnacentral:rRNA from 1 species
GACGAACGCUGGCGGCGUGCUUAACACAUGCAAGUCGAACGGAAAGGCCCUGCUUGCAGGGUACUCGAGUGGCGAACGGGUGAGUAACACGUGGGUGAUCUGCCCUGCACUUCGGGAUAAGCUUGGGAAACUGGGUCUAAUACCGGAUAGGAGCCAUCUUUAGUGUGGUGGUUGGAAAGUUUUUUCGGUGUAGGAUGAGCUCGCGGCCUAUCAGCUUGUUGGUGGGGUAAUGGCCUACCAAGGCGGCGACGGGUAGCCGGCCUGAGAGGGUGUACGGCCACAUUGGGACUGAGAUACGGCCCAGACUCCUACGGGAGGCAGCGGUGGGGAAUAUUGCACAAUGGGCGCAAGCCUGAUGCAGCGACGCCGCGUGGGGGAUGAAGGCCUUCGGGUUGUAAACUCCUUUCGCUAGGGACGAAGCUUUUUGUGACGGUACCUAGAUAAGAAGCACCGGCUAACUACGUG